rnacentral:piRNA from 1 species
UGUUUACCCAAACUUAUGCAUGGUAGCCAGC